GUCUGAGGGGAGGGGGCGGGGAAGCGCUACUGAUAAUACCAGCUUUAACUACUGGAGUUUCCCUUUGAACAAAUAUUCAAUUUAACCGGAGUUAAUUUACCAUAAAAGACAUUCCCCUUGGCACGAAUGCACUCAUGUCCUUGAACACACCUCUUUGAAUGCCUGGACUCUUACAGAAGCCAUUAUUUCGGGGUCUCUUUAAAAUCCGGAGCCCAUCUCUCUCUCUUUCUCUCCCUCCCUCCCUUCUUCCCUCCCUCCACACCACACCACCCCCAGUGAAAUCCUGGCACCCAGAGAGCGCUCCUUUCAGCCAGAGAUCCCAGAACCAGCCGCUGUCCCCUGGCAAAAGAGGCCCAGGGCUGAGUCCUGGGCAAGUGUCCGCAGACAUUGUACCCCUCCUCCCCUAUUAGUUUCCCUUACCAACAGAAACCAUUUCCCUCUGCCACCAAAACUAGGUUGCAUCCAAAAGUUUCUCACAAGCUUAAAAAGGAAAGGCGAAAAAUUGACAACUGUUACACAGAAGAGCCCACAAAUCUGCAGCAGCACCAGGGGGUGAAGAAGCAACGACAGACCCAGGUUGCUUUUAGGAUUGCAACUUCUUGAUGGUGGAUCCGAACAGAGCUCGGUACUCUCAUGUUUCGCUAGAAACACUAGUUUUAAUUGGAAAUGAGCAGUGAUGCAUAUGGAAGAAAUGAAGCCUGGAAAACUUUCCCCAGAGACAGAAGGAGGAGGAAGCCAGAAACUUUGACUGCUGAGCGUUUAGGAGGCGUGCUGAUCAUACACUAUCUUUAAAGACUCUAACAAAAACGAUGCAGCUCAGAAGAGAGCUGAAUCAGACUGCCGCCUCAAACUGCAUUUUCGGAGGUGGAGGCAAAAUAGUGCCUGUAAAUCAUUAGCUUUAAGGUGAAAAUUAUUGACUCAUGUCAAAAAGUGUACGGACCCUAUUUUCUCCUUUCACCUUCUCGCAACUUCUGUACUUUGUCCCUAGCUUACGCAAAAGAAGAGCAGGAUAGUUUCACUUUUCUUAAAUAUGGUUGGAGCAAAGGCCCUUUUUAUAGAAAAAGAAAGCCUGAGGGGAUAAUUCUGCGUAUUUAUUCCAUGGUUAGGAAUGCUAUGGAUUUCAUGAUUUCUAUACAUACAUAUAUAGGUACUUUUUAAAUCCUCUAAACCUCAGGAUCAUUCUCAGAUGUAAAAAAUUAAGAUCUUAAGAGGAAAUAAAGGACUUAAAUUAUUGGGUAGUAUCAUCUCAAUAUUUAUAACUCUAAUUUCCACAGUUUUGUUGAAAACAUGUUAAUUUACAUUUUGAAAAAAAUUGAAGGGGGAAAAUAAAA